rnacentral:rRNA from 1 species
GCGGAAGGAAAGAAACCAACAGGGAUUGCCCUAGUAACGGCGAGUGAAGCGGCAACAGCUCAAAUUUGAAAUCUGGCGUCUUCGGCGUCCGAGUUGUAAUUUGCAGAGGGCGCUUUGGCAUUGGCAGCGGUCCAAGUUCCUUGGAACAGGACGUCACAGAGGGUGAGAAUCCCGUACGUGGUCGCUAGCCUUUACCGUGUAAAGCCCCUUCGACGAGUCGAGUUGUUUGGGAAUGCAGCUCUAAAUGGGAGGUAAAUUUCUUCUAAAGCUAAAUACUGGCCAGAGACCGAUAGCGCACAAGUAGAGUGAUCGAAAGAUGAAAAGCACUUUGGAAAGAGAGUUAAAAAGCACGUGAAAUUGUUGAAAGGGAAGCGCUUGCAGCCAGACUUGCCUGUAGUUGCUCAUCCGGGUUUUUACCCGGUGCACUCUUCUAUAGGCAGGCCAGCAUCAGUUUGGGCGGUUGGAUAAAGGUCUCUGUCAUGUACCUCUCUUCGGGGAGAACUUAUAGGGGAGACGACAUGCAACCAGCCUGGACUGAGGUCCGCGCAUCUGCUAGGAUGCUGGCGUAAUGGCUGUAAGCGGCCCGUCUUGAAACACGGACCAAGGAGUCUAACAUCUAUGCGAGUGUUUGGGUGUCAAGCCCGAGCGCGUAAUGAAAGUGAACGGAGGUGGGAACCUUUCGGGGUGCACCAUCGACCGAUCCUGAUGUCUUCGGAUGGAUUUGAGUAAGAGCAUAGCUGUUGGGACCCGAAAGAUGGUGAACUAUGCUUGAAUAGGGUGAAGCCAGAGGAAACUCUGGUGGAGGCUCGCAGCGGUUCUGACGUGCAAAUCGAUCGUCAAAUUUGGGCAUAGGGGCGAAAGACUAAUCGAACUAUCUAGUAG